AUUGAACGCUGGCGGCAUGCCUUACACGUGCAAGUCGAACGGUAACGGGCCUUCGGGUGCCGACGAGUGGCGAACGGGUGAGUAAUGUAUCGGAACGUACCUUUCAGUGGGGGAUAACGUAGCGAAAGUUACGCUAAUACCGCAUAUUCUGUGAGCAGGAAAGCAGGGGAUCGCAAGACCUUGCGCUGAUUGAGCGGCCGAUAUCAGAUUAGCUAGUUGGUGAGGUAAAGGCUCACCAAGGCGACGAUCUGUAGCGGGUCUGAGAGGAUGAUCCGCCACACUGGAACUGAGACACGGUCCAGACUCCUACGGGAGGCAGCAGUGGGGAAUUUUGGACAAUGGGGGCAACCCUGAUCCAGCCAUGCCGCGUGAGUGAAGAAGGCCUUCGGGUUGUAAAGCUCUUUCGGCCGAGAAGAAAUCGUAUCAGCUAAUACCUGGUGCGGAUGACGGUACCGGCAUAAGAAGCACCGGCUAACUACGUGCCAGCCGCCGCCGUAAUAC
rnacentral:rRNA from 1 species